UCAGGACGAACGCUGGCGGCGUGCCUAAUACAUGCAAGUCGAACGCUUCUUUCCUCCCGAGUGCUUGCACUCAAUUGGAAAGAGGAGUGGCGGACGGGUGAGUAACACGUGGGUAACCUACCCAUCAGAGGGGGAUAACACUUGGAAACAGGUGCUAAUACCGCAUAACAGUUUAUGCCGCAUGGCAUAAGAGUGAAAGGCGCUUUCGGGUGUCGCUGAUGGAUGGACCCGCGGUGCAUUAGCUAGUUGGUGAGGUAACGGCUCACCAAGGCCACGAUGCAUAGCCGACCUGAGAGGGUGAUCGGCCACACUGGGACUGAGACACGGCCCAGACUCCUACGGGAGGCAGCAGUAGGGAAUCUUCGGCAAUGGACGAAAGUCUGACCGAGCAACGCCGCGUGAGUGAAGAAGGUUUUCGGAUCGUAAAACUCUGUUGUUAGAGAAGAACAAGGACGUUAGUAACUGAACGUCCCCUGACGGUAUCUAACCAGAAAGCCACGGCUAACUACGUGCCAGCAGCCGCGGUAAUACGUAGGUGGCAAGCGUUGUCCGGAUUUAUUGGGCGUAAAGCGAGCGCAGGCGGUUUCUUAAGUCUGAUGUGAAAGCCCCCGGCUCAACCGGGGAGGGUCAUUGGAAACUGGGAGACUUGAGUGCAGAAGAGGAGAGUGGAAUUCCAUGUGUAGCGGUGAAAUGCGUAGAUAUAUGGAGGAACACCAGUGGCGAAGGCGGCUCUCUGGUCUGUAACUGACGCUGAGGCUCGAAAGCGUGGGGAGCAAACAGGAUUA
rnacentral:rRNA from 1 species